AGGACGAACGCUGGCGGCGUGCUUAACACAUGCAAGUCGAGCGGAAAGGCCCUUCGGGGUACUCGAGCGGCGAACGGGUGAGUAACACGUGAGCAACCUGCCCUUAGCUUCGGGAUAGCUCCGGGAAACCGGAAUUAAUACCGAAUAUGACUUUGGCUGACAUCAGCAGAAGUGGAAAGUUUUUCGGCUAGGGAUGGACUCGCGGCCUAUCAGCUAGUUGGUGAGGUAACGGCCCACCAAGGCGACGACGGGUAGCCGGCCUGAGAGGGCGACCGGCCACACUGGGACUGAGACACGGCCCAGACUCCUACGGGAGGCAGCAGUGGGGAAUAUUGCGCAAUGGGCGAAAGCCUGACGCAGCGACGCCGCGUGGGGAUGAAUGCCGUUCGGGUUGUAAACCCCUUUCAGCAGGGACGAAGCGAAAGUGACGGUACUGCAGAAGAGCGCCGCUAACUACGUGCCAGCAGCCGC
rnacentral:rRNA from 1 species